UUUCUAUCUAUAUAUAUAAGCAAUAUUUUAGUUUUUGUCAUUACUCGGUAAUGCAGUGACCUAAAUGCUAUUUCACCUUAAUGCCUUCUCAUUCCUGUGACUUUAAGGGUCUGCCUUUCUAAUUCCGGUCAUUGGGUUCUACUGCCAGAGGUGUGAGGAGUUCUUUGGAGACCUGAGCACUGCUGAGUGCCACUCGGCAGCUCACAGGCGGAAUGAGCCUAGCAUGCAGAAGCAUGGAGACAGGAGGCCUGGAGAGGACAGAAAACACCCUAGACCGCAUCAAAGCAGACACCCCCUGCCCUCGGAUUGGAGAGACCAGCAAGACCCAAGAGAUCUGAGGCACCUUGAGUACCAUAGGGAUGUUAGGCACCCUGACCUGAAACGACAACAGGAUGAGUGCCCCAAGGGCUACAGGAACGACAGGGAGAAGAUGUAUGUGAAAGAGGAACAACCUGAAAGCCCCAGGUUUACGAAUGUCCUCGGGCACACCCCACCAGGACUACAUAAGGGCAGGGGGCGAGCGGAGGAGGGGAGGGUGGAGAAGGGUUACGGUGCUGCGUUCUCUGCCCCUGCAAGUGGAACACAUGGCAGGGUCAAGUUGGAGGAGGUGGAGACCAGGAUAAAGCCCAUUGGUGGAGUAUGUGACGAAAUGGACAAAGAUGAAGAUAACAGAGAGAGCAGUUCCGGCAGUGAUGAAGAGAAAGGCAAAUCUCCUAAAGGCCACAAAAAGAAGAAGAAGAAAGAGAAAAAGAAAAAGAAGAAGAAGGAAAAGGAUGGAAAAAAGAAAAAAGAAAAAGAUGAGAAAAAAAAAGAUAAGGAUGACAAAACAUCUUAGUUGCUGUACUGCAUGUCUUGGUUGAUGGUUUCUGUGAAGGACCUACUUUUAGGUCAUCGUUCAUUGCAGUUGUUUUCUGACGUUGAAGCUUUUAAAAUGUGUUAAAUUGUUCCUUUGACCUGUGUUUUGGAGUUGUCUUUUUCAAAAAACUGUCUCCGUUGUAGAGGAUAACAGCACAUUCAUUAUAUGCUGUUCCAUGUGUAAAUUUAGCAGGUAUAAUGUCCAGAAUUGUUUUGCUGCAAGCUGCUGAUCCCAUUCUUCUAACCUUUAGUUUCUUAAUCUUUACGGCACAAUACUCUUAUAUUGGGUCAAGGACAUGUUUGUGUGUACAGUGCCCUCUGUGAGUAUUGGGACAGUAAUGCAUUUUUUAUUAUUUUUGUCUCUUUACUCAUUGAGUAUGAAAUUGAUAUCAAACAAUUGCUAUAAAAUUAAAGUAUAGAUUCUCUGCUUUUAUUUUGGGCUGUUUGUGUACAUAUUGUUUCACCAUUUUUAUGUGACAGCAGUUUGGAACAUACCAACGUAUCAAAAUGAAUUGGUACAGAUUACAAGAAGGCACGUUGUUGUUGGUUUUGAGGUAUUUUUGCAGUAAAGUGUCAUUGUCAGCUAAUUACAGAUGGAUUUAUUUCUAGAGAUUGAUUGGGUCACUAAUUGGCCCUUUAAACUCUCUGUAAAUAGGAGUUAUAUAAUAUGAGAGGCAUUUGCUUGUAGUUUAGCAGGCAAGCUGUUUCUAUUCAAAUUCAUAUGGCCACUUCUGGACAGAUGUUACAUUAGUAAAGCCUCAUGGUCUGUCCACAAUACAAUUUUGCAGAACUCUGCAUGCUCUAAUGUACUUUUUGCAAACUGUAACCUGGCUAUCCUGUUUUUAGGGCUAACUAGUGGUUUGCAUCUUCCAGUCUAGCCUGUGUGUUGCUGAUUUUACUAUUCUGCCUCUUGGUGAAAUGUUAUACCUCUUGGUUUAGUGUUCUGCCUCUUGGUGAAGUAUUCUACUUCCUGGAGAGUGUUCGUGAUCUGUUUUUUAUUAUGGUGUGCAUUCUUCGAUCAGGAAGUGUUGUCAUUUCUAAAUGGUGAAACAAAUGUACAUAAAUAAUCUCUAAUAAACUUUGAGUACCUUUCGUUCAUAGUAGUUGUUGAUUUCAAAUCUGAUUGUUUGGUUUAUACCACUAAAAGAAGGAAAAAAACAUUUUCCAGAACCUACAUUGGGCACUUGGUUAUAUUUCAGUAGGUCCAACCUUGAUGUAGUGCAGCAGAUUCAUUCAUUUUUGUUAUUAAAAGUUAAUUGCAUAUGCUGUUGUGUAAUGUCUGUGUUUUCCUUUUAAAGUUUAAACUGCAGUGGACAAAUCAUUUAAUGAUUGAGAAGUUCUGUUUAUGUAUCCUCCAGUUUGAGGGGAAUGCCGUAACAGGCCAAUGUAUUGAUUAAAACUCUAACUCUGGGUCCUUAUUGGGAGUGUCAAAUAUACAGCCUAAAGAGCAGCAGGAACAACAUGAAUUGGUCAUGGUUGGAGCUGUGGGGUAGUUUGACUGUUGAAUUCUAGUUCUUGCAAUUUAUGAAAUACUGUUGAUUACAUAUGUUUUCACCCCCUUGGACUUUCUAAAUCUGUUUUGUAUAUAUAUCAUGCAUUCAUUUUUAGUGCCCUAGUCCCUGACAAUAAGAAACAUCCCCACAACAUAAUGCUUCCACCACCAUGCUUUAUUGUAGGAAUGGUGUUCUUGUGUUAUGUGCAAUGUUGGGUUUGCACCAAGCCACAAAUGUUUUCCCACAUCACUAGAGAAUCUCCUUGCAUUUUUCAGCAUACUUCAAAGUCAGUCUUUUAUUUGCCAAGUGCACUGAAUAACAUGCAUCAUUCUGAACAAUGACAUUCUUGUGGCAUGGCAUGCGACAUGAAAUUGGAUUGAAGCUGGGCUUUUUGGAGUAAUGAAUCCAUUCUUGCCACCCUUUAAAUAUUAAUAUUCUGACCAGGCCAUAAAAGCCUGUAAUUAUGCUUAUGUUGUGUUUUGGUAGCGACUUGAUUAGUUCCCUAAUUGCUUUAUCUCAAAAUGUUUUUAUACCCAUUCCCGAUCUGCAC
rnacentral:lncRNA from 1 species